rnacentral:lncRNA from 12 species
CACACUGACAGGAGUCUCCAGCCUCCUCAGAACCCACUGUGAAGGUUUGGGAAGAUUUGGGUCACAUCCAUGCUGACAGGAGCCCCUAGCCUCCUCAGGUCUUAUGGUGAGGCUUGAGGAAAAUGAGGGGCCACGUCAACCCUGACAGGAACCCCGUCCUCCUCAGGACCAGCACUUUGGCUUCAGGACAUAUGGGGCUGCGUCUAUGCUGACAGGAGCCCACAGCCCCCUCAGGACCCGCGGUGAGUUUUCUGGCGGACGUGGGGCCAUGUCCAGGCUGACAGGAGCCCCCAGCUUCCUGAGGAACUGCUGUGAGGCUUCCAGAGGAUGUGAGACAUAGUCCACAGUGACAGGAGACCCGGCGUCCUCAGGACCCGCUGACUAUGACUCAGGAACACGUGGGGCCAUGUCUACACUCACAGGAGCCUGGCUCGCUUGAACCCCCUGGAGGACUCCGGAGGAGCCGUGGGGGGCCAUGUCUACAUCAGAAGGGACUCCUCAGAACCACAGGGAUCAGCACUUUGGCUUCAGGACAUAUGGGGCUGCGUCUAUGCUGACAGGAGCCCACAGCCCCCUCAGGACCCGCGGUGAUUUUUCUAGGGGACAUGGGGCCAUGUCCAGGCUGACAGGAGCCCCCGGCGUCCUGAGGACCUGCUGUGAGACUUCCAGAGGAUGUGAGACAUAGUCCACAGUGACAGGAGACCCGGCGUCCUCAGGACCUGCUGACUAUGACUCAGGAACACGUUGGGCCAUGUCCACACUCACAGGAGCCCGGCUCGCUUGGACCCCCUGGAGGACUUUGGAGGAGCCAUUGGGGGCCACGUCUACAUCAGAAGGGACUCCUCAGAACCACAGUGGGCCUGGGAUGGCUGGACGUGUUCGAACGCUGAACUUAAAGCGGAAAGGCCUUCAUUUUCUCAGCCUCCUUGCGUCCCAUCCCAUCCUAUCUAGCUCCUUUCCCCUUCCCCGGACCUCCUGAGAGAGCAGUUGCAAAUGACCUCAGCGUGGCAGCGUGUGUUGGACAGGACCAGGGAUUUGGGAUCAGGAAGACCUGGGUUGCGUGCAACCCGGCUGUGCAGCGGGAUUCGAUGCUGCAGACUCUUAUUCCCUAAGGCUAUCUUGAAAACUGACUUUGUACAUAGAAAAGCUGUCCUUUAUGUUUAAAAGAUGAGGAGCGAGUCAAAGCCUUUUUUCUCUGCCCAUCUGAUUGCUCAGAUUCCAAUCUGAGAUGUAUUUCCUGUUAAUAAGGAUAAUUUACUAUCCAUAGUACUAUGGUUAAAAUAUUCUGACACAAGUAAUUCAGAGGGAUGAGGGUUUCUCGUCUCUUUCUUUCCGGCUCAGUCACUCCUCAGGAAAUGCAUCUUUAUGGAUUUGGAAAGAACUGAGAGACAUUAUUACCAAUGGUCCUAUUAUUAUGUGAAGGAUUCUUCCCUGAGAUUCUUCCCCUAUUUCAACUGACACUGAAACACUGAACUCUUUUGAAGACAAAUGUCAAGGAAAUAAAUGUUAUGCAUUGCUAAUUUUAAUUGCA